rnacentral:sRNA from 1 species
GUUGAUAGUAUAUCCACCACCUCCAGCUAAGGGAGGCAUCUCUGUUACCAAUGAGGACCUGCACUGUCUAAAUGAAGGAGAAUUUUUAAAUGAUGUUAUUAUAGACUUUUAUUUGAAAUACUUGGUGCUUGAAAAACUGAAGAAAGAAGACGCUGACCGAAUUCAUAUAUUCAGUUCUUUUUUCUAUAAACGCCUUAAUCAGAGAGAGAGGAGAAAUCAUGAAACAACUAAUCUGUCAAUACAGCAAAAACGACAUGGUAGAGUAAAAACAUGGACCCGGCACGUAGAUAUUUUUGAGAAGGAUUUUAUUUUUGUACCCCUUAAUGAAGCGUGAGUAAGAAUUUCCUUUAAAGGAAAAUCUUUAAAUCAUGUAAAUGAUGGCAAUUUUUAAAUAAUGAGUAUGAGGUGAAGAAUUCAUUUUAAAACAUCUUUCUGAAAUCUCUUGUAUAUAUUCAUAUUUGUAUUGCCUGUUUUACAAGAAUUAAUGCAGUUUCACAGUGAAUCAUGUAAGAUAUUGAAUUUUACAGACAAUAGACCAGAUACCUUUCUAAUCUCAUUUUAUUCAUUAAUGUCAAAUAAUACCAUUGAAAAAAAAUGGUGCUUAUUGUCUAGCAAGUAACCUAUAGAACUAAGUAUUAUUUUAUACAAAAAGAUGAUUAGGUCACAUAAAGGAAUUGGAAUCUUAAGUUUAAAAUACACUUAUUUUUUUAACCAGAAAGGAGAAAUGAUGGUUGGAUUUAUGCCAUUUUUCAAUUAAAAACCAUGUGGACUACUUGAAGCAGUUUCUGAGUAAAUGGAGGUGU